AUGACUAUAAGUGAUGGUCUCAGACAUCCAAGGAAGGAUAAAGCAGCAUUAGCUCUCAAGCCUGGCGAAGCGAAAGCUCUUAGUCGGCCACUACAUCCAAGGAAGGAUAAAAACAGCAUAAGCUCUCAAGCCUGGCGAAGGCGAAAACUCUUGGUCGGCCACUGCGAAUGUUUUGAGAAACAAGCCUUAGAUUUAUCAUCGUCGAACAGUCCAAACAACAUAGAAAGUUUAACAAAUAAAAACACAAAUUCAGAAUUAAUAAAUAGCAUAAGAGUCGUCUCAGACAUCCAAGGAAGGAUAAAAACAGCAU